AACCAAACAAACCUUUGGUUUUCGUGUCUAAUGUUUAACCGUCCGUCUUAUUUAAAAAAAUAUGAAAAAAAAAUUAAAAAGACAAGUCACGCAUAAAAUAUUAAUCAUGUUCUAUCCUCUAACAAAAAUAAAAAUACGAAUUAUAAAAAAAAAUCAUAUAAAACGGACAGUCAAAGUUGGACACGGAAACCUAGGAUUUGACUUUUU
rfam:Oryza sativa Japonica Group DNA, chromosome 2, cultivar: Nipponbare, complete sequence.